AUUGAACGCUGGCGGCAUGCCUUACACAUGCAAGUCGAACGGCAGCACGGGAGCAAUCCUGGUGGCGAGUGGCGAACGGGUGAGUAAAGUAUCGGAACGUGCCCAGUCGUGGGGGAUAACGUAGCGAAAGUUACGCUAAUACCGCAUACGAUCUAUGGAUGAAAGCGGGGGAUCGCAAGACCUCGCGCGAUUGGAGCGGCCGAUAUCAGAUUAGGUAGUUGGUGGGGUAAAGGCCCACCAAGCCGACGAUCUGUAGCUGGUCUGAGAGGACGACCAGCCACACUGGGACUGAGACACGGCCCAGACUCCUACGGGAGGCAGCAGUGGGGAAUUUUGGACAAUGGGCGAAAGCCUGAUCCAGCCAUGCCGCGUGCAGGAUGAAGGCCUUCGGGUUGUAAACUGCUUUUGUACGGAACGAAAAGGACUGCCCUAAUACGGUGGUCCCAUGACGGUACCGUAAGAAUAAGCACCGGCUAACUACGUGCCAGCCGCCGCCGUAA
rnacentral:rRNA from 1 species